rnacentral:rRNA from 1 species
GAUGAACGCUGGCGGCGUGCCUAACACAUGUAAGUCGAACGGUGAACCUCGCUUUAUAGUGAGGGGAUCAGUGGCGAACGGGUGAGUAACACGUAGGUGACCUGCCCCAAAGAGGAGAAUAACUGUGCGAAAGUGCAGCUAAUACUCCAUGUGAUCGGUCAUUCGCUUGGCCGAUUAAAGCUCCGGCGCUUUGGGAGGGGCCUGCGGCCCAUCAGCUAGUUGGUAGGGUAAUGGCCUACCAAGGCUAUGACGGGUAGCUGGUCUGAGAGGACGAUCAGCCACAAUGGCACUGAAAUACGGGCCAUACUCCUACGGGAGGCAGCAGUGAGGAAUAUUGGACAAUCAACGAAAGUUGGAUCCAGCAACGCCGCGUGGACGAUGAAGGCCUUCGGGUUGUAAAGUCCUUUUAAGAGGGAAGAGGAAGGACGGUACCUCUUGAACAAGUCUCGGCUAACUACGUG